CCCUUAGAUGUUCUGGGCCGCACGCGCGCUACAAUGGAUGAAUCAACGCGUCAUCCUGGCCCGAAAGGGUUGGGGAACCGCUGAACCUCAUCCGUGGUUGGGAUUGGGGUUUGUAAUUAUUCCCCAUGAACUAGGAAUUCCCAGUGAGCGCGAGUCAUAAGCUCGCGUUGAUUACGUCCCUGCCCUUUGUACACACCGCCCGUCGCUACUACCGAUUGGAUGGUUUAGUGAGAUCCUCGGAUUGGUCACGGCACGGUGGCAACACUGCGUCGGUGUGCCGAGAAGACGAUCAAACUUGAUCAUCUAGAGGAAGUAAAAGUCGUAACA
rnacentral:rRNA from 1 species